AAUUAUAUAGUCUAAUAAGGAUGCUAAAUUGCAAGUUUAGAGGUAAGUAAUUUUUAUAGUUU
rnacentral:tRNA from 1 species